CAGAGCAUUUGUUGUCGAGCUGCAGCCAAGAGAGUUCAGUCAUUUCUCAUCUUAACUUUGGCUUCACUUCCACAAAAACGAGCUCUGUGGAGUUUGUAACUUCAACCUGGACAGGAGAAAUAAUUACAGCUUCCUGUUACAACUCAAAGAAUACAGUCUAUUACAGAUUUCAGGUUCUGCGGCAUUACUCUGACCAGUAAUAAUGACACUCCUCGCAGAAGGCAUGAGCUUUCUGAAGGACAACAAGGACAAGCAGACUUCCAGAUCACUCAGGUUCUUUUGGUCUUUGACUAACCUCCAGUAGCAAUGCAAGCAAUGCAAACUAUGACAGACUGGCACACAGGCCUCUUCAGCUGCUGUGAUGACACGCAAUCGUGCUGCUACGGUUUCUGGUGCUGCCCUUGCCUUGCUUGCACCGUCGCAGGGAAGUUCGGAGAGAACCGUUGUCUCCCAUUAUGCGACAUUUGCAGCCCUGCAGUGCUGUCCGCCUUUGGGAUACCCCUGUGUGUACCUCCUGCUGGACUGGCUC